AUUGAACGCUGGCGGCAGGCCUAACACAUGCAAGUCGAACGAGUGGCGGACGGGUGAGUAAUGUCUGGGAAACUGCCUGAUGGAGGGGGAUAACUACUGGAAACGGUAGCUAAUACCGCAUACCAUCGGAUGUGCCCAGAUGGGAUUAGCUAGUAGGGGGGGUAACGGCUCAACUAGGCGACGAUCCCUAGCUGGUCUGAGAGGAUGACCAGCCACACUGGGACUGAGACACGGUCCAGACUCCUACGGGAGGCAGCAGUGGGGAAUAUUGGACAAUGGGCGAAAGCCUGAUGGAGCCAUGCCGCGUGUAUGAAGAAGGCCUUCGGGUUGUAAAGUACUUUCGGCGAGGAAGCGUUACUCACCGAAGAAGCACCGGCUAACUCCGUGCAAGCAGCCGCGGUAAUAC
rnacentral:rRNA from 1 species